GAAGAAACAGGAGUCACCUUCAGCAGAAGGGCAAGGUUUUCAGGUAGCGUGCCCCUACUGCCAUAACUGAAGCUCCAUUACGAGUAGCCAUAUGAUACUGCAUAUUUCCCUUCACAAACCAGCUACUGAACGACCAACACCAGCUCGGAUUUCCUUUUUUAAAAAUAACUAUGAUCCUGAUCAUCUUUUUCUUGCAUGUGUUUUUUACAUAUGCCGGUUAAACCUAAACUGACACAUAUUUAUCCUACAGUUUCCUCAAAAGAUGGCACAAUAUCAGUAUACUGCAUGUAAGAUAGCAGUAUCAAGUAAAAACAUGUGGGAUCACAAUAACAAUCAAGAGUAAACAGUAAUGACUUACUCAAACUUGUCCCUUUUUCACAGCUUUUUAUUUCCAUUAUUAGAUUAUUACAGUUUCAGCCAGCAUAAAAGAAGAUUUGUACACACGUGGUAUACACAACCCAGUUACCCAUGUAUGCCUUCCUUCCUGAGCAGUAACACCAAAAGGCUCAAAUGAUGCUUCUUUCAAGUGGCAUAAGAAUGUGUGUGCAUGCUGGGUAACAUUUUCUAGGUAUUUCCCCCCAAAAAAACUCCACCCUCGAGUCUCCCAAAGAGAUCUUCUCAAUUCCUUCUGCCCUCGGCUCUUCAUCACAAGGCCAUAAGCGUACCUCAUACGAUGGUUGCAGUAUGCAGCUUCAUCAUCCAUACAUUCCUUAUAUGAUGAUUCAUAUUGCUUUGGACUGAAAAGCCACUGCUUGGAUAUCUCUGGUCCACCGCCUCAGUAUACACAUUCUUAAUAGUUAAUACUAAGAGCUUGUCUCUGGUCCACCGCUUCAGCAACUUAUUAUUAGCCCAUGUUUCCUCGGAUACUACUUCAGAGUCGCAUCCCUGCAUACACUUGGUGAACAUCUUAUUAAAAGCUUUCAAACCCCCAGCAAAUGCACCAAGGCGAGAUGUGGAAUUCUUUUGAAUGUUCCAGUGACAGCAUGUAUUGGGAAACAAUUCCUCAAUUGCUUUUGACAUAACUUCGUCACCACGUCUGCAGGAAAGAGCGCCACACUGGCUCUUCCCAGCCAAACCCACAUGUGUACAGCAUUGAUUCAUGUCACCAGCAAGAACAUGUGUUGCGAAGCUCAAGACAGUUUCAGAUCAUUCAGUUCAGUCCCCAUGGCAGCACGGUGGCACAGUCGGGGUGUUCGUCGUUUGAGAAGCAUCAUUUAAGAAUGAUCGAACCUCAUCACGGUGACAGCCUCGGAAGGGGCCCUGCUCGAACCUCAUCUCCCAGAACUGCUCCAGCUCCUCAAGAAUGCCACUAUUCCUGACAUUUGAAAGACAACAUGAUGGCAUUCUGAACACUAAUUUCUCCAUUUGUCAUGUAUACAAUGAAAUAAGUUCAGAAACAAGAGUUACCUUCAUCAAAAGGGUAGGAGUUUUAACGGAUCAGAUAGUAUUGCAACAAGUCAAGUUGCACAUGCCAUAUGCUCCAGCUUCUCCCAGGUUAGGAAAGUCUUAAGAGUUUCUGUAAGGGUUGGCAAUAAAUAGCUGCUUCAAACUAUGUAAAAACAGGUGAGUACAACAGAGCGAACAAGUGACCGAGCUACUUGUGUUCUGGCAGACUUGAACUACAGGCAACAGAUAUUACAGUGCACAUAGCAAACAAAGACCAUGCCAGAAAUAGUGUGUAAAAGCCAAAAAUAAACUUUGGAAUAGUGCCUCAUGCUCAAGAAACAAACUCUGAUGUUUUCUUAUUAAGCAGAAGGAAUUUCUGGAAACAACAUAUGGAUGUAAGAAAGCAACCGCAU
rnacentral:lncRNA from 1 species